rnacentral:rRNA from 1 species
CCUACGGGAGGCAGCAGUGAGGAAUAUUGGUCAAUGGGCGCGAGCCUGAACCAGCCAAGUAGCGUGAAGGAUGACUGCCCUACGGGUUGUAAACUUCUUUUGUAAAGGAAUAAAGUGAGUCACGUGUGCCUUUUUGUAUGUAUUUUAUGAAUAAGGAUCGGCUAACUCCGUGCCAGCAGCCGCGGUAAUACGGAGGAUCCGAGCGUUAUCCGGAUUUGUUGGGGUUAAAGGGAGCGUAGAUGGGUUGUUAAGUCAGUUGUGAAAUGUUGCGGCUCAACCGUAAAAUUGCAAUUGAUACUGGCAGACUUGAGUACAGUAGAGGUAGGCGGAAUUCGUGGUGUAGCGGUGAAAUGCUUAGAUAUCACGAAGAACACCGAUUGCGAAGGCAGCUUACUAGACUGCCACUGACAUUGAUGCUCGAAAGUGUGGGUAUCAAACAGGAUUAGAUACCCGUGUAGUC